AUACGAAAGGUGCAAGCGUUGUUCGGAUUUACUGGGCGUAAAGAGAUCGUAGGUGGUUUGUUAAGUUGGAUGUGAAAUCCCGGGGCUCAACCUCGGAACUGCAUCCAAAACUGGCAGACUUGAGUUCGGGAGGGGUAAGCGGAAUUCCGUGUGUAGCAGUGAAAUGCGUAGAUAUACGGAGGAACACCUGAGGCGAAGGCGGCUUACUGGACCGAUACUGACACUGAGGAUCGAAAGCGUGGGUAGCAAACAGGAUUAGAAACCCUGGUAGUCC
rnacentral:rRNA from 1 species